rnacentral:rRNA from 1 species
AUUGAACGCUGGCGGCAGGCCUAACACAUGCAAGUCGAACGAAGUGGCGAACGGGUGAGUAAUACGUGAGUAACUGCCCUCCUUUUUGGGAUAAGCCUUGGAAACGGGGUCUAAUACCGAAUAAAGGGGGAUGGGCUCGCGGCCUAUCAGCUUGUUGGUGGGGUGAUGGCCUACCAAGGCGGUGACGGGUAGCCGGCCUGAUAGGGGACCGGCCACAGUGGGCAGAGAUACGGGCCAGACUCCUACGGGAGGCAGCAGUGGGGAAUAUUGCACGAUGGGGGAAACCCUGAUGCAGCAACGCCGCGUGCGGGAUGACGGCCUUCGGGUUGUAAGCCGCUUUCAGCCAUGACGCGGUAGUGGCAGAAGAAGCACCGGCUGACGACGUGCCAGCAGCCGCGGUAAUAC